UCCCUGGUGGUCUAGUGGUUGGCACUUGGUUCUCUCACUGCCAUGGGCCCAAGUUCAAUCCUUGGUCAGGGAA